CCACAGGGUAGCCUAGUGGAUAUGGCAUCUGAAGCGGAACACUGUGGGUUCGAUUCCCAUCUCUCCCUGGA